rnacentral:lncRNA from 1 species
CAAAGUCUUCCGGUACACAAAAAUAAAAUUUUAAAAAUAUUUAUAAAAUAAAAUAAUAAAUUAAUUAAAAAUAUAUAAGGAUAAAAUUGGUAUUUUUUAUAAAAUGUAGGGGUGGAAGGAUAAAUGUAGGGGUAUAAGGUAAAACUUUCCUUGGUUGAUUGGAGAAGGCUCAUUCCGUUUUUUUUUUUUGCUCUAGGGCCUCUUGUGGGCCUUUAUAAUCUUCUUUUUUUUGGAUGCACCCCAUUUAUUCCCCUGUACAUCCCAUUCUAUUCUAAAUUUUAUUUAAUCAUUUAUCUCGCAUGAUUAUUUUUGUUGAUAAAUUAAAAUGAUGUUAGUAGCAAAAUAGACUAUUGUUCUAAUUUAAUUUUCUAGAUUGUUUUCUAUUAUGAUUUUUAACCUUUGAUAGAAUACAUGUCAAUUAAAUGGUUAGUUGAAUAUUAAUAGAUAAAAUAAAUACUCAUUUUAUCCUAAUUAUGAUGAAGUAUCGGUCCAACACCAAGUAAUCCCUUUAAAACCUGAUUAAUUCUAAUGAAUUCGAACCCCAAAUCCUUUUAAUCAAUAAAUCCUCAAAACAUUUAAACUUUGGAUGAAAAGGAGUAUAGUAAGCGCAAGCUUUACUAUCUCUCGAUUAUUCGAAUAAUUGGCGUUCACCAUAUUGCUCGAAUUUUCGUCAUUCAAUUAAAACCCUAAAAAAC